UACGUAGGGUGCAGGCGUUAAUCGGAAUUACUGGGCGUAAAGCGUGCGCAGGCGGUUUGCUAAGACAGGUGUGAAAUCCCCGGGCUUAACCUGGGAACUGCGCUUGUUACUGGCAGGCUUGAGUGUGGCAGGAGGGGGGUGGAAUUCCGACGUGUAGCAGUGAAAUGCGUAGAGAGUGUGGGAGGAACACCGAUGGCGAAGGCAGCCCCCUGGGCUAACACUGACGCUCAUGCACGAAAGCGUGGGGAGCAAACAGG
rnacentral:rRNA from 1 species